rnacentral:misc_RNA from 1 species
AGAAAACAGAAACCAGACAGCUUGUAAAAUGUUUAUAGUUUGUAUAAGCCAGCUACACAUAUUGAUGAGGCCUUUAUCUCAGAUAACAACAAGCUUGGCUUUAAUUUAGUUCAGCCCUGCAAACCACCUAAUGAAUUAGUUUGGUCCUCCUUAAUAUUUUUGAGAAGAUGCCACGGUUAAAGAUUAACAUGUCCAAGAAUGUUUUGGCAAGUAUUAAUUUGAAUUUUGAAAAAAGGAAAAUCUUUGUAGCUGGUUUGUUAGAUAUGUGUAUGAGAGGAUAGAGUACCCUAUGUGGCUGACUAAAUUGGGGGUCACUUUCAGGUCGUAAUCAUAGGUCUAGUGUUUUCUGGGAUCUGGUAAACUCUAGGCAUUGUAAGAGGCUAGACACUUGGAAGGGAGCUAUAUUUCCUUAGGAGGUCAUAUAGCUUUAUUUCAGGCUUAUUUACCCAGCCAAUUUCCAUUGCAAAUUUAGUUAACACAAGAAAUCUAUGUCCAUGACUAUUAACUUAGGUAAAUAAAAUUCACUUAAUGAAAACUUUGAAACCAGCAACUGUUUGAUAGAAUUUCGACAAAUUAGUAAGGAUGGCAGGGUAGCUGGCCAGCCCAGAACAUUUUUUAUCUUCAUGGUGCUUGACUUGGAUUGUCAUGGAAGCAGUUAAACAUUUGGAUUGUUUUGAGUUAGGGUUUUUCAUCUUUGAUAUGAUCGUUCAUCUAAAUAUGCCAAUUGGGACAAUUAUUAUGUUGUUUGUGUGAUUUUGGUGAUGCCAAAGAUGGUUUAAAUGAUCUCAUGUUCGCCUCUCUAGUAAUCUAGAUUUUUCCGUAACUUCUCUUUUUUGGUUCACCUCACGGAUCAUGCAUGAAUGCCCUAUCUCCUUUAGUUGCAUUUCAAGCCUCAUUAUCAGAAUCCCUUGGAAAAUUAAUGUUCUUGUGAACUUUAUCUAGUGUGAUGAAGAUAUGGUUUAUAAUUCUUAUGAGAUGGUUUAUCCUGUGCAAGAGUCUCUGGAUGGUUUUUGCUGUUUAUGUGAAAUUCAGAGAUAUUGGCCUGGGUGAGGAUCCAUUUGAGGGACUGAAUGAAAUAUAAGAUUGAAGUUAAGUUUAGCAAUAAGGUAUAUUAUGGCAACAUGUUUCCUUGGAAGAUUGCUUGGCAAGCUAGUGUUUCUGUGGAGUAAAUUGAGAGUGCGGUGGACUUAAACCAAGCAAAGCUUUUCCUACGUCAAGCAAAAUCUUCAUACUGGCAGGUGAUGCUAAACCAAACAACGCUUCUGCUACAUCAAGCAAAACCUUUAUACUGGCAGGUGAAACUUUAACGUAGCCCAAAAAAAAAAAAAAAAUUCACACAAGGGAUAUGCCCUACUCACGUUCAAACACAAAUUCACACAAGGGCUAUGUUCUGCUUACGUUCAAACGCUUAAUUCUUAUGCAAAUACUGCUCCACACAAUUUCAUAUACUCUUCACUUGCUUCAUUCCUCUUAGUGAUAUCUUAAGUCACCUACAUGCAGUAGCUUGGAGUCCGUUACAACUUGCAAGAGCUGGUUAGAAUAGUUUAGAACGGCACUAAAAGGAUAUGAAAUUAUGAACAACUUUAUUUUCAAGGAGAAAUGUGGAGAAAUAAUGGUGGCAUGGUUAAGAAGAAAAAUAUGGAGAUGUUUGGCAAGAAGCAAUAUAUAUGAAGAUGAAAAAUAAGGAAAUUUGCUGGGAAGAGAGUUAAAAUAAGCUCUUGACAGUUUUCUGUCAGAGUUUUCUCUUUGGAGUGGAUAUAUACCUUUUCUCAUAUUGUGAUGUCUGAUGUGUGAAACUUUCUUCAGGAGGAAGAAGUUGUAAAUUUGUGUUAUCCAUUUAGAAGAAGAAUUGGUUGGUUAUUGACUUCAUUCUUUUAUGGGUAGAGAAAUUUGGAACAUGUUUCUGUCAUAUAUGGUAAUAAUAAGAUUGAAUAUAGCACUUUCAGGAAGUGGCUCUUAUAGUCUCUACUCCCACAAAGGCCAAUGUUUGGGUUCACUUCAACAAUUUAUUGAUGCUCUAAACAUAGAAUAUGUUUUUU